rnacentral:rRNA from 1 species
AGACAUGAAGUCAAGUCAGCAAACCCGCUGAAUUUAAGCAUAUAAGUAAGCGGAGGAUAAGAAACUAAAUAGGAUUCCCUCAGUAAUGGCGAAUGAACAGGGAUGAGCUCAGCAUGGAAAUCGGGGUCUGCGACCUUGAAUUGUAGUCUGGAGAUGUAUCACCAACUGGGGCGCAGAUGUAAGCCUUUUGGAACAAAGCAUCAAUGAGGGUGAAAGUCCCGUCUGGCAUCUGCAGUCCCCAGUGCUCGGUGUACCUUCUAAGAGUCACGUUCCUCGGGAUUGGAGCGCAAAUUGGGUGGUAAAUUUCAUCUAAAGCUAAAUAUUGUUUCGAUACCGAUAGCAAACAAGUACCAUGAGGGAAAGGUGAAAAGGACUUU